CGGCGCACGGGUGAGUAACACGUGGGUAAUCUACCUCUUGGAUUGGAAUAACCUGUCGAAAGACGGGCUAAUGCCGAGUAAGGUCGCAGGAACGUGGAGUUCUUGCGAGGAAAGAUGGCGCAAGCUAUCGCCGAGAGAUGAGNNNNCGUCCCAUUAGUUAGUUGGUGGGGUAAAGGCUUACCAAGACAAUGAUGGGUACCUGGUCUGAGAGGAUGACCAGGCACACUGGAACUGAAACACGGUCCAGACUCCUACGGGAGGCAGCAGUAGGGAAUAUUGCGCAAUGGACGAAAGUCUGACGCAGCCACGCCGCGUGAGUGAGGAAGGCCUUCGGGUUGUAAAGCUCUGUCAAUUGGGAAAAACGGCUAUCCGGGGAAAGUUCGGGUAGCGUGAUGGUACCAGUGAAGGAAGCACCGGCAAACUCUGUGCCAGCAGCCGCGGUAAUACAGAGGGUGCAAGCGUUGUUCGGAAUUACUGGGCGUAAAGCGUGCGUAGUCGGUAUUGAGAGUCGCGGGUGAAAUCCCAGGGCUUAACCCUGGAACUGCCUGCGAGACCUCAGUACUAGAGUGUGAGAGGGGAUAGUGGAAUACCCAGUGUAGCGGUGAAAUGCGUAGAGAUUGGGUAGAACACCGGUGGCGAAGGCGGCUAUCUGGCUCACAACUGACGAUCAGGCACGAAAGCGUGGGGAGCAAACAGGAUUAGAUACCCUGGUAGUCCACGCCGUANACUAUGCAUACAAGCUGUAGUGGAAUUUUACUUCUGCUGUGGCGAAGCUAACGCAAUUAGUAUGCCGCCUGGGGAGUACGGUCGCAAGACUAAAACUCAAAGGAAUUGACGGGGGC
rnacentral:rRNA from 1 species